UAUUAUUUAUAUACUAUUACAGCAUUUAUUAAUAUUUUAAUUAGCUUUCAUUUUUACAUUUUCAGUUUUAUUUUUUAUUGUACUAUUAGUUUUAGUAAUUUUAAUGUACUUUUAUCAUUUUUAUUAGUUUUUAGUGUUUAUAUAUUUCUGUUUAGCUUUUAUUUAUAUUUAUUUCAAUUUGAGUAAUUUUCAGAUUUUUAUUAUAUUGCCAUGGCAGUAUUCAAAUUAUUAUUAUUUUUUUUAAUUGGAAGUGUUUCAUCUAAUAUUUAUUUUAUUUUUACUUUAAUUUCAUAUAUUGUAAAUUAUUUUUAAUAGUUUUAGUUUAGUUAAUAUCAGCAUUGAUAAAAGUAUUAAUUUUUGCAAAAACGUUUGACCCCAAACUUUUUAACAGCAGUAUGCAUGGUAUGAGAGUAGCUAGUUUUAAACACAAAAUAUUUGUGGAAAAUGCCUUUAGUAUUUCAUUGCUACAAAAACCAUAAGUUUGUCUAAAUGGCUGCAUGCAAAGUCAUGUCACCUUAUUCUUAAAAAUAAGGGGACUGGUUUUGCUUUACUUGCAACUUUACAUGGGAGUGAAAAGUCAAAAGUUUGUCCUAACAAAUGCUUAAACACCCACAAUCAAAAAGUUAUUUGUGUGAACACUAUCUUCAGGUUGAACGUGAGAGCAAAGUAUCGCAACUAACCAGCAAAGCAGCCCAUCGUCUUACACCUCAAACCAAUUUAUUCCCUUCGCGGACACAUGGGGAGCGAGCAAUCUGCAGUCCCAGCUCUUGCUGUGUCAGCGCUCACGGGACAGAGGCUGUUUCUUCACAUCACCAUACACAUAAUACACGGGUCAGCAAAGUCAGGAAGCAGGUGAGACACAAACUAGCCGCUCGUCAGACAGUGCAAGAGGGUGAUGAACUCUCACAGCUACCUGGUGGGAAAUGGAAACUAUCCCCGGCUAGAGAUGUGAGUCAUGCAUGAUGCAGUUGGGUCAUUUCUGACACCUGAACGUUCAGUGUUGUAGUAUUAAUAUCUUUACUUUUUGUUAUAUACAGAAACCUGAAUCACACACUUGGAGAGAUCAGAAGGAUACUGAAGGGGAGGAUUAUAAGCAGGAUGUUGAGGUGGAAGAUGAGAUGCUGUUGGGGCAACAUGAUCAACCUCUUGAUUUGCAUCACCACAGAAGCAAGACUGUAACUUUUCACAACGAUAUGGUGAGAAGAUCUUGUGUGGCCUUAAAUAUAGUCACGUAUGGCACCCCCACAUUCAUAGACAUACAGUGUAAAAGAAAUAACUGCACUGGUUUUUAUCAGUACACUGGAAAGCAAGGCUUUGCUUACAAGUGACCUGGAAAUAAGUGCUUCUGUGGAAGAACCAGUAUUUUUCUAAGGCUUGUGGCAUAAGAUCUUUAAAAGACAAUGGAGAGUUAAUAAGAUCCAUGAGAACAACAUUAUAUUUAGCCUCUUUUUUGUGUAAUGUUUGAGCACACCAAGUUACGUUUAUGACAUUUUCAACAAAUUGUGAUGUUACAUAAUGUAACACAAUGCCUUUUAUAUUCAUUGAUACUGUACAUGUUGGCGUCUCUGCAGAUAUAUGAGCCAGAUGAGCCGGCCACUGUUUCCUUCACAACUGACUACAGAGCUUCCCAAGUGCUUUGGCCUCAUGAGAAUCAG
ensembl:lncRNA